GACGAACGCUGGCGGCGUGCCUAAUACAUGCAAGUAGAACGCUGAAGGAGGAGCUUGCUUCUCUGGAUGAGUUGCGAACGGGUGAGUAACGCGUAUGUAACCUGCCUGGUAGCGGGGGAUAACUAUUGGAAACGAUAGCUAAUACCGCAUAAUAGUAGAUGUUGCAUGACAUUUGCCUAAAAGGUGCAAUUUCAUCACUACCAGAUGGACCUGCGUUGUAUUAGCUAGUUGGUGGGGUAACGGCUCAACAAGGCGACGAUACAUAGUCGGCCCGAGAGGGGGGUCCGCCCCACUGGGACUGAAACAAGGGUCAGGCUCCUUCGGGAGGCAGCAGUAGGGAAGCUUCGGCAAUGGACGGAAGGCUGACCGGACAAAGGCGCGGGAGUGAAGAAGGGUUUCGGAUCGUAAAGCUCGGUUGUAAGAGAAGAACGAGUGUGAGAGUGGAAAGUUCACACUGUGACGGUAUCUAACCAGAAAGGGACGGCUAACUACGUG
rnacentral:rRNA from 1 species